GCUUUUUUCCCUGUGACAUGACCAGCUGUGUGCAUAGAUGCAAAGAUGCUACUGAAUGUUUGCCUAUUUAAACUGCAGCAGUCAGACAGUCAGCUAUUUCCACACAGAGGUAGAGAAGAGCAGGUUUGAUUUAGAUCCUCCCUGUUCCACUCCAGUACCAGCCAUGCUGCCUGUAGUCCUGCUGCUGAUACUGUUGAGAUCUGCAACCUUGGUCAGAGGUCAGAUUGUGCUCACACAGUCUCAACAGCCAGUGAUGGAGAGUCCAGGAGGAACUCUCAAACUGACUUGUGCCUGCAGUGGAUUUAGUGUGGGGGACUAUGGCAUGCACUGGGUCCGCCAAGCUCCAGGGAAAGGACUGGAAUGGAUUAUUUACUACUAUACUGACAGUUACAAGAACACAGCCCAGACAGUCCAAGGCAGAUUCACUGCAUCCAAGGACAGCUCUAAACUCUACCUGCAUAUGACCCAGUUGAAGUCUGAGGACACUGCAGUCUAUUACUGUGCUAGAGAUUCACAGUGGUUAAACCAAUACAACCAGCCACACAAAAACCCUUCAUGACAGACAGACAACAGA